rnacentral:rRNA from 1 species
AGUGAACGCUGGCGGUAGGCCUAACACAUGCAAGUCGAACGGCAGCACAGUAAGAGCUUGCUCUUACGGGUGGCGAGUGGCGGACGGGUGAGGAAUACAUCGGAAUCUACUUUUUCGUGGGGGAUAACGUAGGGAAACUUACGCUAAUACCGCAUACGACCUACGGGUGAAAGCAGGGGAUCUUCGGACCUUGCGCGAUUGAAUGAGCCGAUGUCGGAUUAGCCAGUUGGCGGGGUAAAGGCCCACCAAGGCGACGAUCCGUAGCUGGUCUGAGAGGAUGAUCAGCCACACUGGAACUGAGACACGGUCCAGACUCCUACGGGAGGCCGCAGUGGGGAAUAUUGGACAAUGGGCGCAAGCCUGAUCCAGCCAUACCGCGUGGGUGAAGAAGGCCUUCGGGUUGUAAAGCCCUUUUGUUGGGAAAGAAAAGCAGCAGGUUAAUACCCCGCUGUUCUGACGGUACCCAAAGAAUAAGCACCGGCUAACUUCGUG